rnacentral:lncRNA from 1 species
AUGGUUCACCAUUCAUUUGACCUGGAGAACCCCAUAAAAUCAUGCAAAUCAAGAGGUUCAAAUUUUCGUGUUCACUUUAAGAACACUCGUGAAACUGUCCAGGCCAUCAAGGGUAUGCAUAUAUGAAAAGCCAUUAAGUAUCUGAAAGAUGUCACUUUACAGAAAUAGUGUGUACCAUUCUGACGUUACAAUGGUGGAGUUGGUAGGUGUGCCCAGGUCAAGUAGUGGGGCUGGAUAGAAGGUCGGUGGCCCAAAAAGAGUGCUGAA